AUGGCGGGCAGAGCGGUCGCUGGCCGAAUCCGGCCAGAGGAAAGUCCGAGCUGCACAGAGCAGGGGUGCCCGGGGAAAUCCCGGGGAAACGUCUGUCGGUGGACGUUGACAGUCCAGAUUGGCACAUCAGAUCUGAAGAGAUCUGGUGUGAGAGCAACAGAGACCAGUACCGGACCGGUUUUCCGGAUCCGGGGUGAAAAGGGCAAUCCUCCCCCGCAGCAAUCUACGAUCGGACCGCUUGCAGGUUGCUCGCCGAGGUCCGAGGUGAGAGCAGUCGUUGGGGUGACUCAACGACCGGACCAGGCCGAGAUGGCUUGUUCCGAGAUAGAUGGCCGCAGAGAACAGAACUCGGCUUACUCGCCCGCCAUUGCU
rnacentral:RNase_P_RNA from 1 species